AUCCAUAGAGAUCGCUAGUACUCCUGUUCACAAAGAUGUAGGAGCUACACUUAAAUCUCCUAGAACCUGUGAGGCGUAAAGUCUCCUCUCCCUCUACUCACUCCCCCUUCUCUCCCAUGAACACCUCCACACACAGACGGAACUAAAGUUUGAUGAAGCAGCCAGAGACUUGCAGAGGCUGGAAAUCACCACCAGGAAGGCAGUCUGCGCAGCAGUGAAAGAGUUCAACAAGAAACAGGUGACUGCAGCAACCUCAGCCUGGCCAAGCAGCAGUAUUUACAGAAAAGACAAUUGGAUGCAGCCCCCUCAAGUCAACCCACAGAAGACUAUUUCUCACAGUUUAAUACAAGAAGCCGCUAAUGGAAA
rnacentral:lncRNA from 1 species